GAUGAGCGCUAGCGGCAGGCCUAACACAUGCAAGUCGAGGGGUAGCAGGAUUAAGCUUGCUUAAUUGCUGACGACCGGCGCACGGGUGCGUAACGCGUAUGCAACCUACCUUAUACUGGGGUAUAGCCCGGAGAAAUUCGGAUUAAUCCCCCAUAGUACUAAUGAAUCGCAUGGUUUAUUAGUUAAAGCAUUGCGGUAUAAGAUGGGCAUGCGUCCUAUUAGCUAGAUGGUGAGGUAACGGCUCACCAUGGCUACGAUAGGUAGGGGGCCUGAGAGGGUGGUCCCCCACACUGGUACUGAGACACGGACCAGACUCCUACGGGAGGCAGCAGUGAGGAAUAUUGGUCAAUGGGCGCAAGCCUGAACCAGCCAUGCCGCGUGCAGGAAGAAUGCCCUAUGGGUUGUAAACUGCUUUUAUUUGGGAAUAAACCUCUUUACGUGUAGAGAGCUGAAGGUACCAAAUGAAUAAGCAUCGGCUAACUCCGUGCCAGCCGCCGCAGUAA
rnacentral:rRNA from 1 species